AUCGCUUCUCGGCCUUUUGGCUAAGAUCAAGUGUUAACGAUGGAGAUUUUUAAUCGGUCUCUGUUUCACAGAUUAAAUUUGUAUGUUGUCAGGUCUUUUCAUUUAGGGCGUUCUAGCCUUGGUGCCGUUUCUGAGAAAUCCUUAGGAAUCUGGCGACACCGUUCAUUCAGCAGUGCAGAUGUGGGCGUCUCGAA
ensembl:snRNA U2 U2 spliceosomal RNA